rnacentral:lncRNA from 1 species
UUAAAAACAUGGGGGAAAAAGGAAAAAACCCAAUUCUGGGUCUUGUGGGUCGCGAACAGAAGGCAGGAAAGGAGAAACCCUUCUCCUUCAAUUGAGUUCAAGAAAUUCAGCCAAUUGAAGCCCUAAUCGUAGUUGUAUUCAUGCAUGUCAAUGAUUUCUUGGUCAUCUAGCCCUAACAAAUACAUGAAUAUGAACCACACUAGCAUGGACCAAGCAUGGAAGGCUAACGGGUCAAGAUGAGGCAAGGAAGCGGGUAUGAACACGGAUGCACAAAGUAAGUGAUUUCGUAAUCACUUCUUAGUUGUUUAUGUAAUGUUAUAUGCAAUUUAAUUAUAUGUGAUAAUUGAGGUCAAAUAGGAAUGAAUUGUAUGAUGUCAAUGAAGUAUUAAACGGAUCUUAGUUUUGAUCCGAGAAAGGUAGGUGUGAUUAAGAAAUUGUAGCUAAGUAGUGGAAUUGGUUACUUAUGUAAGGAAUUCCUUUGUUAUUAAGGAUAGAGCAUAGUUGACUAAAAUACCCUUGAUAGGUAUAUCGGGCAAACGACCUUAGAAGUCGUUUGGAAACGAGCUAUUCGAUUAGAGUAAUGUCUUGGACAAGUAUGAAAGCGAAGUAUAGGGUUUUGUAUGUCAUAGUCCACUUAAUGCGCAAAUACCCAUAACGGGUCAAAAAUAAGCUUUUGAGCGAAAAUGGGUUAAGAGGAUGCAAGACGUCCGAGAAUUUAAUCUUUUAUGAUAGGUGCCAAUGAAAUUAUUAAAGUUCAUAUGAGAUUGAGGUCAAAUAAACGGAGUAUGUUGAUAAAUGCACGAACGGGUCAAAUAGUUAGAAAAUGAUAAUAUGUCGAAUGCACGUAAGUUAAGAAUUUCCUUAAUCCGGAAGUAGGAUUUUAAGUUAAUAUGAUAGAAUGUGAAUUUACAAGCAUGUAGGAAGAAACGGGAGGUUAAACGGGUAAACGGUUCAAACGUUAUGCGCGUUUUAGUGCGUACGGACGACGAAACGGAACUGCAGAAAACUGCAAAUUCUAGAGGGCGUCGCUGACGGGUAUGGGGGCGUCGCCGACGGGCUCCAGAAAGUGAAUUUUUGGCUGACGGGUUAUUUGACUGUCUACGGGGAUUUUUGGCUACGGGUAAUUGCAAGGGCCGUCGCCGACGACCCUAGGGCCGUCGCCGACGCCCUCCCCAAGUUCAAAAACCUAAAAAUUUGUUAUUUAAGUUGAUUUAUGUAUCGUAGGCUUCGGUUUGUUAUCCGUGGACUACGGUGAACUUUCCAAACAUGAUUUUGAUGGUUCCUUAGAUGUCUAUGGGCUAUAAAUCUAAGUCUAAGUCCCAUGUAAAUAUUGUAUGAUUAUAUAAGGAUGUAGGAAAGAGAUGUACGUAUGUGGUUGUGUAUGUAUGUAUGUGUAAAGACAUGUAUGAGUGUAUGCACGUAUGUAAAGUUGUAAGAAAGGUAUGUAUGUAUGUAUGUAUGUAGAGGAGUAUGUAUGCAUGUAAGAUGGUACGUGUGCAUGAUUUAAAUACGUAGAGUUUUAAUGUUACUAAUUAUGCGUUUGAGGUUGGUAUGUAAUGCAGGAACGAGUACAUCGGAUUCUUACGAAAUUUAAGCCCAACCCGGAAUAAGAGGAUGAGUAAGGAUAGUUGGGUGAACUAAUGUUAAAUUGCCGAACGUUAUUCAAUCCUUAAUUAUAUGAGAUUAAUAUUAUAUGAUGUUGUCGUUGAUUAAUGGCUAAGUUGUAUGUGAUGCCCACAGGUGAUACACGGACUUCUUCUGCUACUUAGGAAGUGAAGCGGACGUAGAUCGAGUCAAGAGCAAGGAUUGCACGGAUAGAUCGACCAUAUAGUUGAAAUAUAUAACGUCUAGAAAUGUAAAAUUUAGUAUGAAUGUUGUGAAUUCUUUUAUAGAACGUUUAACAUUUUAGCUUUUGGAACCUUCUCGAAAGUAAUGUCGUUAAUAAGGAAAGAAAUUUUAAAGCUCUUUUCCGCUGU